ensembl:lncRNA
CAUUACAGGCAGCUUCUAUUCUCUAACUUGGUCAUUUUAAACUUUUCCCUUUCAAGAUUAAUGUGCCUUUAGACAUGGCCAAUUGCAAAUGCAGGAUCUAGCCAAAUGAAAACACACAUCACAGCUAGUUUUUCUCAAUUACUUCUCAAAAAUCUUUUGAAGACAAUCCAUACAGCAAUUUUUGACAUAUGCAAAAACUGGAACAAUUUUAUUUCCUGCUUGACCAACCUGAUCUCCUUCUAUGAUCUAGUGACCUGUCUGGUGGAUGAGGGAAAUGCUACUGAUGUAGUCUACCUAGACUUCAGCAAAGCCUUUGACACUGCCUUUCACAGUAUUCUCCUGCAGAAGCUGGCAGCCCAUGGCUUGGACAGAGGGCAGUGAGGCACUGGCACAGGCUGUCCAGAGAAGCUGUGGAUGCACACCCUG